AUACUUACCUGUCGGAGAUACCAUGAUCAUGAAGGUGGUUUUCCCAGAGCUAGGCUUAUCCAUUGCGCUCCAGAUGUGCUGACCCCUGCAAUUUCCCCAAAUGUGGGAAACUCGACUACAUCAUUUGCAGUAGUGGGGGACUGUGUUUGUGCUCUCCCCUG